rnacentral:rRNA from 1 species
GCGUAGGCGGAUUAUCAAGUCUCUUGUGAAAUCCAACGGCUUAACCGUUGAACUGCUUGGGAAACUGGUAGUCUAGAGUGAGGGAGAGGCAGAUGGAAUUGGUGGUGUAGGGGUAAAAUCCGUAGAUAUCACCAAGAAUACCCAUUGCGAAGGCGAUCUGCUGGAACUUAACUGACGCUAAGGCGCGAAAGCGUGGGGAGCAAACAGGAUUAGAUACCCUGGUAGUCCACGCCCUAAACGAUGUACACUAGUUGUUGGGGUGCUAGUCAUCUCAGUAAUGCAGCUAACGCAUUAAGUGUACCGCCUGGGGAGUACGGUCGCAAGAUUAAAACUCAAAGGAAUAGACGGGGACCCGCACAAGCGGUGGAGCAUGUGGUUUAAUUCGAAGAUACGCGAAGAACCUUACCUGGGCUUGAUAUCCUAAGAACCUUUUAGAGAUAAGAGGGUGCUAGCUUGCUAGAACUUAGAGACAGGUGCUGCACGGCUGUCGUCAGCUCGUGUCGUGAGAUGUUGGGUUAAGUCCCGCAACGAGCGCAACCCACGUAUUUAGUUGCUAACGGUUUGGCCGAGCACUCUAAAUAGACUGCCUUCGUAAGGAGGAGGAAGGUGUGGACGACGUCAAGUCAUCAUGGCCCUUAUGCCCAGGGCGACACACGUGCUACAAUGGCAUAUACAAUGAGACGCAAUACCGCGAGGUGGAGCAAAUCUAUAAAAUAUGUCCCAGUUCGGAUUGUUCUCUGCAACUCGAGAGCAUGAAGCCGGAAUCGCUAGUAAUCGUAGAUCAGCCAUGCUACGGUGAAUACGUUCCCGGGUCU